rnacentral:rRNA from 1 species
UUCGCCCUUAGAGUUUGAUCCUGGCUCAGGACGAACGCUGGCGGCGCGCCUAACACAUGCAAGUCGAACGGAGCUUAGAGAGCUUGCUUUUUAAGCUUAGUGGCGAACGGGUGAGUAACGCGUGAGUAACCUGCCCUAGAGUGGGGGACAACAGUUGGAAACGACUGCUAAUACCGCAUAAGCCCACGGUGCCGCAUGACACUGAGGGAAAAGGAUUUAUUCGCUUUAGGAUGGACUCGCGUCCAAUUAGCUAGUUGGUGAGGUAACGGCCCACCAAGGCGACGAUUGGUAGCCGGACUGAGAGGUUGAACGGCCACAUUGGGACUGAGACACGGCCCAGACUCCUACGGGAGGCAGCAGUGGGGGAUAUUGCACAAUGGGGGAAACCCUGAUGCAGCGACGCCGCGUGGAGGAAGAAGGUUUUCGGAUUGUAAACUCCUGUCGUUAGGGACGAUAAUGACGGUACCUAACAAGAAAGCACCGGCUAACUACGUGCCAGCAGCCGCGGUAAAACGUAGGGUGCAAGCGUUGUCCGGAAUUACUGGGUGUAAAGGGAGCGCAGGCGGGAAGACAAGUUGGAAGUGAAAACCAUGGGCUCAACCCAUGAAUUGCUUUCAAAACUGUUUUUCUUGAGUAGUGCAGAGGUAGAUGGAAUUCCCGGUGUAGCGGUGGAAUGCGUAGAUAUCGGGAGGAACACCAGUGGCGAAGGCGGUCUACUGGGCACCAACUGACGCUGAGGCUCGAAAGCAUGGGUAGCAAACAGGAUUAGAUACCCUGGUAGUCCAUGCCGUAAACGAUGAUUACUAGGUGUUGGGGGAUUGACCCCCCUCAGUGCCGCAGUUAACACAAUAAAUAAUCCCCCCUUGGGGAGUAAGACUGCAAGGUUGAAAUUAAAAGGAAUUGACGGGGACCCGCCACAAGCAGUGGAGUUAUGUGGUUUAAUUCGAAGCAAAACGAGGAACCUUACCAGGUCUUGACAUCUGAUGCAUAGCACAGAGAUGUGUGAAAUCCUUCGGGACAUCGAGACAGAUGGUGCAUGGUUGUCGUCAGCUCGUGUCGUGAGAUGUUGGGUUAAGUCCCGCAAACGAGCGCAACCCUUAUUGCCAGUUACUACGUUAAGAGGACUCUGGCGAGACUGCCGUUGACAAAACGGAGGAAGGUGGGGAUGACGUCAAAUCAUCAUGCCCUUUAUGACCUGGGCUACACACGUACUACAAUGGCGUUAAACAAAGAGAAGCAAGACCGCGAGGUGGAGCAAAACUCAAAAACAACGUCUCAGUUCAUAUUGCAGGCUGCAACUCGCCUGCAUGAAGUCGGAAUUGCUAGUAAUCGCGGAUCAGCAUGCCGCGGUGAAUACGUUCCCGGGCCUUGCACACACCGCCCGUCA